AGUGAUACAUCGCGAACGUGCCCGAUCCCGGGGGAUAACGCACCGAGACCUGUGCUAAUACCGCAUACAAUCUACGGAUGAAAGCGGGGGAUCGCAACACCUCGCGCGGACGGAUCGGACGAUGGCAGAUUAGGUAGUUGGUGGGGUAAAGGCCUACCAAGCCGACGAUCUGUAUCUGGUCUGAGAGGACGACCAGCCACACUGGGACUGAGACACGGUCCACAGACUCCUACGGGUAGGCUCCGAGUGUGGCAAUUUUGGACAAUGGUGCGCAAGCCUGAUCCAGCCAUGCCGUCGUGCAGGAUGAAGGUCUUCGGGUUGUAAACUGCUUUUGUACGGAACGAAAAGGUUUCUUUUAAUACAGGGAACUGAUGACCGGACCGCAAUAAUAAACACCGGCUAACUACAUGGCAUCAGCCGCUGUAAUACGUAGGGUGCGAGCGUUAAUCGGAAUUACUGUGCGCAACAGUCGUGCGCAGGCGGUGAUGUAACACAGAGGUGAAAUCCCCGGGCUCAACCUGGGAACUGCCUUUGUGACUGCAUCACUGGAGUGCGGCACAUGGGGAUGGAAUUCCUCGUGUAGCAGUGAAAUGCGUACAUAUGCGGAGGAACACCGAUGGCGAAGGCAAUCCCCUGGGCCUGCACUGACGCUCAUGCACGAAAGCGUGGGGAGCAAACAGGAUUAUAUACCCUGGUACUCCACGCCCUNNACUAUGUCAACUGGUUGCUGCGAAUUACUUAUCUCAGUAACNAUGCUAACGCCUGAAGUUGACCGCCUGCNGAGUACGGNCGCAAGGUUGACACUCAGAUGAAUUGACUGUGACNCGUCACAGCGNGGAUGAUGUGCUUNAUUAGAUGCAAUCAAGAUCCUACCUACUAUGACAUNUACUGAUGCUUUA
rnacentral:rRNA from 1 species